rnacentral:rRNA from 1 species
CCCUUAGAUGUCCUGGGCCGCACGCGCGCUACACUGAGUGUCUGAGAUACGAGUCUGCCUGGUCCGGCAAGGUCUAGGUAAUCGCUAAAAGACACAUCAUGCUUGGGAUAGAUUAUUGCAAAUAUUAAUCUUGAACGAGGAAUUCCUAGUAAGCGCAAGUCAACAGCUUGCGUUGAUUACGUCCCUGCCCUUUGUACACACCGCCCGUCGCUACUACUGAUUGGAUGUUUAAGCGAGGUUCUCGAACUGCUAGCGACUUAGCUUCGGUGAGGUCGCAGUGUGUGAAGUGAACCUAGCUUUGGUGUCUAGAGGAAGUAAAAGUCGUAACA